rnacentral:rRNA from 1 species
GACAGAGGGUGCAAACGUUGUUCGGAAUUACUGGGCGUAAAGCGCGUGUAGGCUGCUUGGAAAGUCGGAUGUGAAAGCCCUGGGCUCAACCUAGGAAGUGCAUUCGAAACUGCAGGGCUAGAGUCCUGGAGAGGAAGGUGGAAUGCUUGGUGUAGAGGUGAAAUUCGUAGAUAUCAAGCGGAACACCGGUGGCGAAGGCGGCCUUCUGGACAGUGACUGACGCUGAGACGCGAAAGCGUGGGGAGCAAACAGG